rnacentral:rRNA from 1 species
CCUACGGUAGGCAGCAGUGGGGAAUAUUGGACAAUGGGCGAAAGCCUGAUCCAGCCAUGCCGCGUGUGUGAAGAAGGCCUUCGGGUUGUAAAGCACUUUCAGUGGGGAAGAAAGCCUUGGGGCUAAUACCCUCGAGGAAGGACAUCACCCACAGAAGAAGCACCGGCUAACUCCGUGCCAGCAGCCGCGGUAAUACGGAGGGUGCGAGCGUUAAUCGGAAUUACUGGGCGUAAAGCGCGCGUAGGCGGUCUGAUAAGCCGGUUGUGAAAGCCCCGGGCUCAACCUGGGAACGGCAUCCGGAACUGUCAGGCUAGAGUGCAGGAGAGGAAGGUAGAAUUCCCGGUGUAGCGGUGAAAUGCGUAGAGAUCGGGAGGAAUACCAGUGGCGAAGGCGGCCUUCUGGACUGACACUGACGCUGAGGUGCGAAAGCGUGGGUAGCAAACAGGAUUAGAUACCCGGGUAGUC